rnacentral:rRNA from 1 species
GUAAUACGGAGGGUCCGAGCGUUAUCCGGAAUCAUUGGGUUUAAAGGGUCCGCAGGCGGGCAAUUAAGUCAGGGGUGAAAUGGUACGGCUCAACCGUAGCACUGCCCUUGAUACUGGUUGUCUUGAGUCAUAGUGGAGUGGCCGGAAUAUGUAGUGUAGCGGUGAAAUGCAUAGAUAUUACAUAGAACACCGAUCGCGAAG